rnacentral:lncRNA from 8 species
AUGGUGCCAUGUUCCUUGCUUACCAUUGAGUCGGUUUUAGUUGUUUCACUUCACACGGUAAACAAGAGGUGUGUGUGUGUGUGUGUGUGUGUGGGAAUCGCAGUUGAAUGGACAGGUAUUAUACACCCCAGAUGUACACAACCCCCCCCCCCUCAGAUAGUUGUCGUCAACGUUUCUCAAACACUACACUUUGAGGAGGCUACCUUCUGGAUUAUGAAGUCUCUUUCAUUUUUUUCUUCUUUUUACCCCCUCAGGUAAUGGUUGACGGUCUAAAACCAGGGCUGGAUCAUUACAAAAGCUCAUUCUUGAUUGCUGAAUGUGGACUAUUCAACAAAGAGUUGAACCGCAGUAUAUUGGGCAUAUUGUCCACUGUCUAAUUACUAGCUUUUGUUUUGUUUGAAGUGAGCACGGUAGUUGCUGAUUGACUCGUAAACGUGCUUCCAGGAUUCAUUUGAGACAGCAGCUUGUGCUGCCCCAUCACGGUCGAGACAAUCCAUUCUCUUUAUUUAUUAGCCUAGUGUAGCAUCCUGUUUUUACCUUUUUUUAGUUUACAGCUAUUGACAAACUCGAUCUGUAUUUGCUAGUCCGGUCCUACCGCAGUCUUCUACUUCUCUGACAGUUGUCUUUCACUAGAUCGUUUCAGUAGAUUCAUUCUAAACUGUUUUCAGUCUAGACCUGUGUUGCAUUUGCAAAGCUUUAGACCUGAGACUGUUUGUUUCUCUUUACCAUAAUCCAACCUCACAGGUCAAACUCCUCAAAAGCUUCUCGAUGUGAUUUUUCAUUUAGCUACUUUUAUUGCCGUUUUGACAUUUUAAAUACUUUCUUAAAGCUUAGCUGCAGAAAAUAUUUGGCUUUUGCCUUUUUAGAAAUGUUUUUGAGUAACACACCUCUCUCUUUGAUACCUCUGUUUUAAUGUUACAGCCUGUACAUUAACCAGGAUUCCUCAUACUCAGCUUUACCGACUGGACCAGUUUGUUACCUGGAGAACCUCUUGUAACCUCUGACCUUUUUCACAGUGUAAUCAAGUAUGUGAGCGCUCCAUUUAAACAACAUAGCAACAUCAACUGUCACAUGACCACCCUACUUUAAUGUCGAAGCACCGCCACAACGAAGCUCUUUCUGCCACCUACUUGUUCAUUCAUGACAUCGUAUCUUGUUGGAGUAGUGAAGAUGUUGGCGUGUAGGUUAAAUUACCGUCUUCAUUCCACUUAAAAUCCAACACUCUAUGCAACCUUCUCACUGUACACAUUGCGUAAGGAACCACAGCAUUUCUGCUCUGCUUUAUUCUCCUGAACUACUACUUUCUUUCAUCACAUUAUGUUAGUGUUCAUACAGUACGUGUCUUUACAAUGUCAUAUAAAAUAUGAGCUUUCUGUUGUUCAAGAAGCUGACUGGAGCAUUGUGUUUUAGCAAAGUAUUGUUUUUUUGCUGUAAAUAAUGUUUGACAACUUCUGUUUCUCUUGAAAUAAAUGAUCCAAAAUACAAGUCUUUGUUUGGUUUUAAUAUCAUCAACCCAAUUCACUCAUUAGACAUGAUAAAAGUAGCUUUUGUAAUCUACUCCAACAAAUACUUCUGUUCUUGUACAGUGGCCUCCAACCAACCUCUGCUAGCAGUCUUUAAAUCAAAUUGUAUUUGUCACAUGCGCCGAAUACAACAGGUGUAGUAGACCUUAGUGAAAUGCUUACUUACAAGCCCUUAACCAACAAUGCAGUUUUAAGAAGUGAAGUGAAGAAUAACAAAUAAUUUAGAUCAGCGGUAAAUGACAAUUGUGGGGCUAGAUACAGGGGAUACCGGUACAUUGUCAAUGUGCGGGGGCACUGGUAUUGAGGUAAUAUGUAGGUUGUUAUUAGAUAACAGAGUAGCAGCGGUGUAAAAAAAAAAAAAAGGGGGGGGGGGGGGGCAAUGCAAAUUGUCUGGGUAGCCAUUUGAUUAGUUGUUCAGGAGUCUUAUGGCUUGGGGGUAGAAGCUGUUUAGAAGCCUCUUGGUCCUAGACUUGGUGCCCCGGUACCACUUGCCGUGCAGUAGCAGAGAGAACAGUCUACUAUGACUCGGGUGGCUAGAGUCUUUGACAAUUUUUAGGGCCUUCCUCUGACACCGCCUGGUGUAGAGGUUCUGGAUGGCUGGAAGCUUGGCCCUGGUGAUGUACUGGGCCGUAUGCACUACCCUCUGUAGUGCCUUGCAGUCGGAGGCCGAGCACUUACCAUACCAGGCAGUGAUGAUCCUUUUAUGAACUGGUUGAACCCCACUUAGUAACCACCCAGUUCAUGGCACAACAGUAGAGAAGUGAUCCUUUGCAGCUCUAUUGGUAGAUAAUGGCGCUAGCAACGCUACAAUAGUGGGUUAAAUUCCUGGAACCAAUUCCUGGGAUCCAAAGUCAAUUCCUGCACACAUGACUAAGUCACUUCGGAUAAAAGCAUCUCAUAAAUGGCAUACAUUAUAUUAGAUGGUGUGAUAGAUUUUUUUGCUACUCCCAAUUUGAGAACUAUUCUGACCAAUUUGGUCCUAGUCUUAAAAAUGUAAUAAAUGAUUGUAGUUGUCAGCAUCUCUGACAGUGCCAGCUAUUAUGUUUGCUGUCUGUCAACCAGCUUAAUCGAGCCCCCAACUGUCUCUGUUAGUCUGGUGCUCAUCUGAGCACAACUGAUCUGCAUCAGACUGUGAUGCCUAUAUAUUGGUUUUACUGCUGCCAUCCCCUGUCACUGUAUAUUUAGUAGAAGCCCAAAUGGACAAACUUGUUUCCCACAGCCGUUAAUAAUCCUUUCGAUCAGAGCGGCUGUUUUCCCUCAAGGAUUAUCCCUCACUACCCUAACACCAUUGUAUUCCUCUAAAAGAACACUGUGUAUUAUAUACUGUAUGUACAAACUGUGCAGCAGCCAUCUGAUGAAUGAAAAGAGACCUCUGUUUCAAAACACCAAAAAGUUUAAUGACAUUUCGAGAUUGCCAAACCAAGCCUUUGAUACUGGGUGAGCCUA